UGACCUCAAAUCAGGUAGGACUACCCGCUGAACUUAAGCAUAUCAAUAAGCGGAGGAAAAGAAACUAACAAGGAUUCCCCUAGUAACUGCGAGUGAAGCGGGAAAAGCUCAAAUUUUGAAUCUGGCGGUCUUUGCAGACCGUCCGAGUUGUAAUCUA
rnacentral:rRNA from 1 species